rnacentral:rRNA from 1 species
AGCAGCCGCGGUAAUUCCAGCUCCAAUAGCGUAUAUUAAGGUUGCUGCAGUUAAAAAGCUCGUAGUUGAAUUUCGGGACCAAUAUGUCGGUCGUGCUUCGGUACGUACUGGUAUUAUUGAUUCCUACCUUCUGAAGAAUCUUGAUGUCAUUAAUUUGGUGUCUUGGGAAAUCAGGACUGUUACUUUGAAAAAUUAGAGUGUUUAAAGUAGGCUCGCGCUUGAAUACAUUAGCAUGGAAUAAUGAAAUAGGACGUUUGAUUCUAUUUUGUUGGUUUCUAGGAUCGACGUAAUGAUUAAUAGGGAUAGUUGGGGGCAUUAGUAUUCAAUUGUCAGAGGUGAAAUUCUUGGAUUUAUUGAAGACUAACUACUGCGAAAGCAUUUGCCAAGGAUGUUUUCAUUAAUCAAGAACGAAAGUUAGGGGAUCGAAGACGAUCAGAUACCAUCGUAGUCUUAACCAUAAACUAUGCCGACUAGGGAUCGGAUGAUGUUAAUUUUUAAUGA